GUAGGUGGCAAGCGUUGUCCGGGAAUUAUUGGGGCGUAAAGCGCGCGCAGGCGGCUCUUUAAGUCUGAUGUGAAAGCCCACGGGCUCAACCGUGGAGGGUCAUUGGAAACUGGAGAACUUGAGUACAGAAGAGGAAAGCGGAAUUCCACGUGUAGCGGUGAAAUGCGUAGAGAUGUGGAGGAACACCAGUGGCGAAGGCGGCUUUCUGGUCUGUAACUGACGCUGAGGCGCGAAAGCGUGGGGAGCAAACAGGAUUAGAUACCCUGGUAGUCCACGCCGUAAACGAUGAGUGCUAAGUGUUAGGGGGUUUCCGCCCCUUAGUGCUGCAGCUAACGCAUUAAGCACUCCGCCUGGGGAGUACGGCCGCAAAGGCUGA
rnacentral:rRNA from 1 species